rnacentral:lncRNA from 1 species
GUCCUGAUCAUCUUUAUCCCUCUCCUUCACGAGGUCCUUAGUUCAUUCUUUUGGCUUCUCAGGGCCCAUGCUCUCACUGUGUUUAAAUAAUGGCAUCUCUAUUUGGUUUCUCUUUCCAUGAAACUUACGGAGGAGGAAGGGGCUUCUGAUUGGCUGACACACUGGCGGCUGGGGUGCUCUCUGUGGGCUGCUCUUGAGUCCCCGGAUGUUUCUGCUCCAGAGGAGGGUGCAGGCGAAUGACAAGAACUCAGCCAGGGAGGCCGAGAAAAGACUUCAACCGGAGGCCUCGGAAGGCGUCCCGGUCAGGUACUUCACUAAACUGGACCAGCUCAUAGAGUUCUACAAGAAGGAGAACAUGGGACUGGUGACCCACCUGCAGUACCCUGUGCCCCUGGAGGAGGAGGAUGCCGGCGACGACCCUGAGGAGGACACAGGUAGGCGGGGAAGGAAGGUGGCAGGACGUCACAGGCCCACUCCCCAG